rnacentral:rRNA from 1 species
UACGAAGGGGGCUAGCGUUGCUCGGAAUUAUUGGGCGUAAAGAGCUUGUAGGCGGUUUGUCGCGUCUGCCGUGAAAGCCCAGGGCUUAACCCUGGGUCUGCGGUGGGUACGGGCAGACUAGAGUGUGGUAGGGGAGACUGGAAUUCCUGGUGUAGCGGUGAAAUGCGCAGAUAUCAGGAGGAACACCGAUGGCGAAGGCAGGUCUCUGGGCCACUACUGACGCUGAGAAGCGAAAGCAUGGGGAGCAAACAGG